UGAGAGAACUCGGGUGAAGGAACUAGGCAAAAUGGUGCCGUAACUUCGGGAGAAGGCACGCUGGUGCGUAGGUGAAGUGACUUGCUCACGGAGCUGAAACCAGUCGAAGAUACCAGCUGGCUGCAACUGUUUAUUAAAAACACAGCACUGUGCAAACACGAAAGU
rnacentral:rRNA from 1 species